AAAUGUCCCAAAGUUUUUGUCCCCAGAAACCUAAUAUCCAUUAACCCGAAAUUUUUGCCCCAAAAUGUCAUCUUCUUCAAAUCUUCUUCUCUCAAUUAAGAUUUUCGCAAUCUUCACUCAAAUUUCCUCCAAAACCGAUGGCUAGAUCCCUCUUUCUCUCUCUAAACAAAUCCAUCUCCACCGUCCAUCUCCACCCCGGCCACAAGCGUCACCUCCUUCCCCUCAGCCCAUCGUCUUGCCUCGUAUCUCUCCGUGCUCAAUCCAACCAAACCGACCUCUCCGACCUUUCCACUUCUUCCGACUCCACCAUCGACCCUUUGCACUCGACUUCAUUAUCGAUGCAAUGUUUUGUUUUAAUUAGCUGUUUGCUUACUCAUUUGCUCAAGUUCUUUAGAAUUUUGAUGUGUUAUAUGUUGUAUUUUUUAAUGUUUCAAAUGGGUUAAUUGUUUUGUAUGCUUGUAUUGUUGGUUGCGCUACUUGGAAUUGGUACCCAGAUGGAUUUCAUAUCACCUACUAGGUUAGGGUGGAGGAGAGGAGGAUUAUGAGAAGAAUUGGGAUAAGUUUUGGGAUGGUAGUGGCAACGGCGACGGUGGCCAUGGCUUUUAGAGGGUUUCAAGCUGGUGGAGGUCCAGGUGCUUGCUUGCUGCUGGAAGAGAUUGAGAGCCAAAUUGAAUUGUUGGUAAAUGAGUGAGGUUGAAUCUUAACAGCUUGUCAGGUUCACUUUCUCCAUCUAUCGGCAAUCUAACUGCAUUA